rnacentral:lncRNA from 1 species
CUGGUUCCGUUAUUUAUUAUUCUGUCGGAAUAUCCUGUCUGUGCGUUUACACCGGAUCUAGUUCCAUUAUUUAUUAUUCUGUUGGGAAUAACCCGUCGGUGCAGUCUAUCGCACGCAUGGUGAAUCUUUCUAUUAUUCCAUUCUUUAUUAUUCUGUUGGAAUAACCUGUCUAUGUGGAUUAUCACAUGCAUGGUGAAUGAUCCUUCGUAUUCAUACGAAUAGUAUUUUCAUUAAAAAUGG